CCUACGGGAGGCAGCAGUGAGGAAUAUUGGUCAAUGGACGCAAGUCUGAACCAGCCAUGCCGCGUGCAGGAAGACGGCUCUAUGAGUUGUAAACUGCUUUUGUACGAGGGUAAACUCAGAUACGCGUAUCUUUCUGAAUGUAUCGUACGAAUAAGGAUCGGCUAACUCCGUGCCAGCAGCCGCGGUAAUACGGAGGAUUCAAGCGUUAUCCGGAUUUAUUGGGUUUAAAGGGUGCGUAGGCGGUCGGAUAAGUUAGAGGUGAAAUCCCGCGGCUCAACCUCGGAAUUGCCUCUGAUACUGUUCGGCUAGAGAGUAGUUGCGGUAGGCGGAAUGUAUGGUGUAGCGGUGAAAUGCUUAGAGAUCAUACAGAACACCGAUUGCGAAGGCAGCUUACCAAGCUACUUCUGACGUUGAGGCACGAAAGCGUGGGGAGCAAACAGGAUUAGAUACCCCGGUAGUC
rnacentral:rRNA from 1 species